rnacentral:tRNA from 1 species
GUUGAGUAGCUCAACCGGGUAGAGCACCAGACUUAAAAACCUGGCAGUCGCGGGUUCGAAUCCUGCCUCAACCA